CUGAUGAGUCCCAUAAUAGGACGAAACGGCCGUC
rnacentral:hammerhead_ribozyme from 1 species